GCCUCGGUGAUGUAGUGGUAGCAUGCGUCCCCAGUAUGGAUGAAACGCGAGCUCGACUCCCUUUUGAGGUC